rnacentral:rRNA from 1 species
CGAACGCUGGCGGCAGGCCUAACACAUGCAAGUCGAACGGACCCUUCGGGGUUAGUGGCGGACGGGUGAGUAACACGUGGGAACGUGCCUUAGGUUCGGAAUAGCUCCUGGAAACGGGUGGUAAUGCCGAAUGUGCCCUUCGGGGGAAAGAUUUAUCGCCUUUAGAGCGGCCCGCGUCUGAUUAGCUAGUUGGUGGGGUAAUGGCCCACCAAGGCUACGAUCAGUAGCUGGUCUGAGAGGAUGACCAGCCACAUUGGGACUGAGACACGGCCCAAACUCCUACGGGAGGCAGCAGUGGGGAAUCUUGCGCAAUGGGCGAAAGCCUGACGCAGCCAUGCCGCGUGUAUGAUGAAGGUCUUAGGAUUGUAAAAUACUUUCACCGGUGAAGAUAAUGACUGUAGCCGGAGAAGAAGCCCCGGCUAACUUCGUG